CGGGGAUCGCUGGUCGGCGCGGAACCGGUGGGGCGAAGGGCCUGUUUCCUUGCUGUGUCUCUAAACUAAACUAAGGGUUGACAGUGUGUGCAGGCAUGCUGCUGGAAUACAACUCGCUGAAACUACCUGGAUUAAACACAGAGCAUAGAAACAUAGAAAAUAGGUGCAGGAGUAGGUCAUUUGGCCCUUCGAGCCAGCACUGCAUUCAAUAUGAUCAUGGCUGAUCAUCUAAAACCUGUACCCCGUUCCUGCUUUCUCCCCAUAUCCCUUGAUUCCCUUACCCCUAAGAGCUAUAUCUAAUUCCCUCUUGAAUACAUCAUACAUAAAAGCAUUGAGUCCCUUCAAACGGUUGGCCCAUACAAAGCUAAUUAGAAUAUUGAUAUGUAGUUAUGCCAAGAUCAGAGAAAGCAGAAUUCCAGCCCAUGCUCCAGGACUAUGAUUCCAGAUCCCAUUAAUAAGAGAUAGCGGCUGGUCAGUUGAGCUAGUCUAUCACAGUUGUUUAGCUCACAUUAGUCGUGCUGAGGCUGCAACGGAGGAUUGAAUUGGUUCCAAUUUAUCAUCGUGAGGCACAUUCAUUUUCAGGCCCUUUAAGCCCCCUAAAAAUUCUGCUUUGCUACACUUGAACUAUUGUCACUAGUCAGUUACUAAAUAACAGAUAGGCAACGUUGUGCCUGGGCGCAUGUUGUCAGGAAAUAUUCCCGAGCAAAAAUCACCAAUAUAUUGACCUUAUCAUUGCCAUACACCACUCCCACUGAAGUGUGUUUCCACAUUUUGGAAAAAUGUCAGCAUAAAGGAUCUGCUAUUAACUGCACAGGCAUUUUUCCUCAAUCACUGUUGGCAUUAAACCUGGGAGUAAAUAAGUGAGCAUAUGUUACGAUACAGGCACUUCAGGAAUGGAAACACAUUCCAGCAGCAGUUGUUCUGUGCCUCAGAGUUUCUUCAUGAGCUUUUUACCCGGUAAAUGCAGCAGCAUCCACUGGCAGUGAUUAUACAGAGAAGAACUCCUUCACUUUUGGCUUUAAAAAUCCCAUUUGUUCAAGUUCAAAUUCACAUUUAUUGUCACACGCACCAAUUGGUACAGUGAAAUUUGACUUUGGUGUUACCAAAUUGUAAAUUCACUGCAUUGAUUUCUUCUAUCAUUACACCAAAAAGAAAACCCGCCCGAAUGUCUGUUAGAAGCAAAACCUAUUCUUUCCGUCAGCACUGUGGGCUUAUGUUGUUAGGCUGUUCAAACGUUUUGCCUACGUUUCCUCUGUGUUUUCUUGUGCAAUUCUCGAUACAAGGUCAGUGGGUAGAUUCCCAGGUUACUUUAUUAGGGAGAAAAUAUUUAGACCAGUAUUACAUGAGACAACCUCCCCUUCUCCAAAUGCUAUUUCAAUCUUACUCCACAUAUACGGCAUCUAUGGGUGGGUAUGAUGGGUGGGUCUAUACUAUGCAAGAGACAGCAGAGCCAAAAUGGCCAAGUAAUUGAAAAUGAUGGAGAUUAACUCCAUGCUAUUGUUAUUUGAUUUAUAAGAUAUUAAAACAAAAUAAUUAAUGUCUCUUUAGAAAACAAAAACACAGCAAAGCAGCCAUUACGUUUCAGUUAAAUACUAUGUAUGUAUUUUCAUAUCAUUCAAAUAUUUCUUCAAUAAUUAGCAGUAUCUAAAGGCGUUUGUAAU